CGCCAUUUUUAGGGGUGUCCGAAUGUCCAGAUAGCAAAAAAGUAGGGCACUAGAAAUUUCCCACAAUGCAUCUUGAAAAGUAGUGAGCAUCGAUGCUCCCUAGACGGCUCGAUAUUACCCAUCGUGCAUUGCGAAUCUCCAGCAAAAUGACGUAAGAGCAGCCUCUCAGCAGAAGCGCGAGCAGGGAGCCGGAGCUGUGACACAUAAAUGGACAGACGAGGACGUGGAGCGGCUGGUGCGGCUCCGGUGCUGUAGUAGCCUCUUCAGUGGGAAGAGAUUGGCCUCGGCCGCCGGCUGGGAUGACUCCCCGCUCUGCUGGCCCUGGUCGUCCUGCUCCUGGUGGACAGCCUCUGUCUCUGGCUCCUGGACUGGCUCCGGCUCCAGCAGGUCCCCGUGGUGAAGGCAGAGGUUGUGCAGGACAGCGCAGCAGGCGAUGACCUUCACAGCAAAGACCGGCCCCGUUGAACCUGGCCUCAACAGGAUUCCUCACAGGCUGCCUGUACGGCAUCAGGGUGGUGAUGGGCCGUGACAGGCGGAGGUACCCCCCAUCACCGAGGAGGAUGAAGCCGGCGGGAGGAUGCAGCUGCUCGGUGUAGAUGGGGCUGUUCCUCAACACACGGGAGUCGUGGACCGAGCCAGGGUAACCAGCAAAGACGUCUAGAAAUCUUCCUCGGUGAUCACACACCGCCUGAAACUGCACCAAGUGGAACAUCUUGUGGUUAAAAUAACACUGUGCGUGUUCUGCAUGGGGCUUUAUCCUGACGUGGCAGCCGUCGAUGCUUCCCACGACCCUCCGAAAAGAGGCAGAUCAGCCGACUGCUGGAAACCAGCAGAGAUCUCUUCCAGCUCUUCUGCAGGAGGAAAGGAGAUCAGGCGCCUCCGUAUCCUCAGCCAGCCAGAAGAAGAACACCAGGGUGUCCAGGUGCCUCCCCCAGCACUGGAGAUGGUGGUGCGGUGUAGCCAGAAGUCCGGCCAGACCUCUGAGUGGCCAUCGAAGUACCCGGCCAACAGGGGAACGUUUCUGUUGACCACACAAUAAAGUGCCGGUGGUGUCUGGGGGGGAAAAACAGGCCGCUUAGUUUGUUUGUGUGAAUAAUCUAGAACCACUUUGCACAGCUUUAAGCUCCUGAAAAUGCAACUUCUCAUGGUAGCAUUUCUGGGAGUUUAAAGCUGUGAAAAGUGGUUCUAUAUUCUUGUUUUGUAGGUUUAUCUUUUGCACUUCAAUAUUAUUGUAUGUCUUUCUUUUGUUGUUGCCUUAAUAAAAACUAAAACACAAGG